UUUGUCAUAAACCAGUUAAAUUUGUCCACAUUUUUUAACUGUUACAAUGACUUUUCAAUUCACUAGGUAAUUAAUUUGUCCAUAUUUUGUUUUGAAGUUUUGAUUCAUUACUUUUAACAAAAUCGUUAGGUAGGAAAUAUUCUAUAAAUUGCAAAAAAUAGUAAUGUAAUAUAUGCAAAUGUAGUUUACUUUUUAUUUUUACCCACAGUACAUUCUAACAAUAAAGGGUUAAACUAAAAAAACUUAUAUUUUCUUUUUUUCCCGGAUUAAACCUUUAUUUAUUGUCUAAAAUUGUCAAAUGUGAGGAUUUUUUUGAGAAAAACUUAAAAAGUUGACGGUUUAUUCGGAAGCAUUAAGAAGGUUGAAGGUUUUUUUUGGAUAAAAAUACGAAGUUGAGUUUUUUUUUGGGAAAAUAAAUAUAGAUGGUCUUUUUGAGACAAAAAAUAAAUUUGAAGUUCAAUCUUUUUCACGAGCAUUCACUAAACACACAACUUCACCACCCAAAUUAAUAACCUUGACCAACACACAUCCAUGUGGGAAAAGUGGUGAUUGAUGACAUUGAUGAGUUCAUACGCAAACAAAGAAUCUGGAAUUGUUUAUUGUUUCUCUCGAAAGGAGUGUCAACAGAUUCAAAGAAUUACUAUAAUUAAAAUUUGUUAUAUGAUGUCAAACUGUUGAUGAGAAAAUUUUAAAAAUAAUACUUACUAUAUGCUUUUGUGUUCAAGAACUAUAGGACGUAAAUGCCCCUGAAAAAGUUCAUAUGAGGUGGAGUAAUAGCAGGUUGCAGGUUAUUGGUGGAACAAUAUGUUUUUUUUGCGUCACCAAUAUUUUAUUCUAUUUUAUUUUUUAAAUUUAUAAUUCCAGUUAAUGAUUAUAGAUUUUUAAAUUUUUUUUUCUAACAGGUGGCUUUUGGUAUGUGAAUCAAUAAACCAGAUGGUUUGUCAUACAUCACAACUUAGGUAAAUCAAUGGAGACUUACUAUCAUGUUUGUAAUUGACUAAUUUUACAUUUAUACCAUUCCCAUGCAUAAAGUGGUAGAGCAGGGAGGGAUGGGCUUCCUUUUGAAUGUUUACUUACUUUAGGCCUGCUGAUGUCCCAAGACAGAGCUCCCAUGGUCUUCUAUGAGAAUUGUGGGUUGUAGAAUCUAUAUGAAAUGGUGCGAUUUUUGUCAGUCUAAAAGAGAAUGCAGCUGAAGUGCUUUCUUUAGACAUUUUGCUGAGCCUCUUCAAGAAUGCAAUGGUUUCUUUAUAAAAUAGGUGAAACAAGGAAGUUGAAAUGCUAAAAGAGGGACACAUAUUAUACAGAUUAGAGAGAGAGAAAGAGAUAUAUUUGAAGGACAAUGAAGGUAUACAGGUGAAAAUAUAGAUUAGUUACCGGUCAGAAUAGAGCUCUCCCUCAAAAGAAACAUAAGAGAAUUGUCAAGACACCAGCUCAAGUUGCAGCAGUAGAGAUUUUGGUGAUCUUGGAAUCCAGGGGAUUGGAAUUUCAAUAGGGAGGUUGGAUU